rnacentral:misc_RNA from 1 species
AAGUCGUAACAAGGUUUCCGUAGGUGAACCUGCGGAAGGAUCAUUAACAAAUUUUCCACACACCCCAACCAAACGCACUGUGAACUGUUACCCCACUCUGGCGAGCACUCUGGCCAGGCUGACGGGGACUGCGCGCACGCCCUCAACCAGCGUGCGUCAGGUCUCUGGAGGUCGCGGCCGGGACUCGCCUCUUGUUUACGCCUUGAUUAAACUUUUUACUGAGCCUUUAAUUACACACAAUUAAAGACAACUUUUAGCAACGGAUCUCUUGGCUCUC